rnacentral:tRNA from 1 species
GGAGAGGUACCCAAGUGGCUUAAGGGGCGGGAUUGCUAAUCCUGUAGGUCGGCAUCAGCCGGCGCGUGGGUUCGAAUCCCACCCUCUCCG